rnacentral:rRNA from 1 species
AUGGCGAUCCUCAUAUCUUCCAUUGCUUCCAAAGCCUUGGCCCUCUACACUCCGGGGAUUUCUCGGCAUCGAAGGAGCACGGUUUCAUUCGCAUCGGCUCGUCGUCCGCGGAUCCUUGCCAUGAAGUUCUGGGGCGCCAACCAUAACCUGCCGAUCAGGAGAGCAACACAAAUCCCCGCAGCUGUUCCAGGCCCCGAAAAUUUGCCAAGAGUAAAUCUCCCUAUGUCCAACAUGCCUUCAUGGGUGACCUUGGUCGUCGGUGCCGUCCUUGUUGCAAUACCGAUUUACAGAAAGAUAAGAGCAUUGGAAGAUAAGGUGGAGAAGACGGCGGAGGUGGCAGUCGAGGUAAUCGACACGGUGGCCGAAGCUGCCGAGAAAGUCGCCGGCGAGGUGGCCGAAGCGUUCCCCGAAAAUGAAGGCCUCAAGGAGGCAGCAUCCAGGAUCAAGACCGUCGCCGAUGCGAUCGAGGAGGACGCCGAGAAAGCCGAGGCACUAAUCCAUAAGGUUGAUGAGAUAAAGAAAGAGGUGGAUUCCGUGGUCGGUCCUAUCAUCGACGUGGUCAUGAAGGAGAGUGGAGAAAGAGGAGUCAUAGAUGAACCCAAGAGGAAAGAAACGGACAACAUAUAA